rnacentral:lncRNA from 1 species
GGGUAUUGGGGGAAAUUUCCCUUCAAAGGUUGAGUGGUGCCACUCACAUUAAUUUGUGAAGCCCAAUAACGAUCCUUUGAAGAAGUCACGAAUAAUGCGAGUGGGAUGCAAAUGAAGGGAAUGCAUGUAUGCAAUGUGAAGGCAUGAGUUUGAAAAAGUAAUAAAAAACAAAGAUGCAUAAGUGAAAAUGUGCACGUGAGUGGGCAAGGUAUGGUAUGUGCAAUGGUAAUAUGAAGUGCAUGUGUGCAAGUGAUGAUAAAAAGUGUUAGUGUGCAAGUGAAGGGAUAAAGAGAUGCACGUGUGCAAAUGAAGAAACAUAAAGGUGUACGUGUGCAAAAUGGGAGGAAAAAUGAAAGUGUGAUGAGGGUAUAAAAUGGUGGAGUGGAUGCAUGAACCUAGGGAAUGUAUGCAUAUUGGGUACGGGGAGACCUAAAUCGUGACUCAAUUUGCCCUUUUGUAGAGGGAAUACAAGCGUGCUAAGGCUUAGAAAAAGCCACACUCGUCUAUAUUCCAUAUUUAAGGGGAC